UCUAGGCCUCAAAGAGGAGGGAGAAUGCAGAGGUGCAACUGUGAGAUCUCCUGUGUGUAACACAUCUGGUCAUGGUUAAACAGGAGGUCUUUGGGAAAUAGACUGUGCUUGUCACAAGUCUCUGGCUUGUCAAAACCAGCCAGAUCAACAGCAUGGGCAAUACUGGGACAGACCCACCAGGGAAAGUUCACUUGAUAUAUUUUCCCCUUCAGAGCACACACAAGCUUAGCAUGCAGCUAGCACUUCACUUGGACAUUGGAUUCAAAUUUUCUAAGGGAGGAUUUGACACAUUCCUGGACAGGAGAAGAAUGGAAUGGAAAAUGCAGUUGAUGGCAAGAGGGUCUUCCCACAAUCCAAACUGACUCUUAGGAGGCUGGCUUAUUUGGUAUAAAAUACCUGGUAGAGCCUGAUAUGGAUGGGACACAGGACACACAGCAAGAAGAGGAGCAAUGAAGGUUAGUGAAAUCUGGCUGGCAAAUGAACUUUCAUAGAGGCAGUAUGCUUGAAAUUAAUGUGGCGGUGAUGUUUAUGCAAUGCUAUCACAUAUGAGGGUAUUGCCAGAUCUGAAAACUAAGCAUGGAAAAGAAGCAUGUAACUGUCCAGACAGCAAAUAGUGUUAGUCUGGCACAGCAGCUAAUGUUUCUUACAACAGGAAAGAAAGCUGCCACUGUGUGCUGGCUCACAGCAUGUGACAUUGUCAUUUAAAAUCUUUGUUUUCAUCUGUUUUUUUCUGAAACUUUCACUUUCAGAAAUGAAUUUCUUAAUGGUGGCUGUGUGCUAGAAGGGUUUGACAAUGUUGUGGAGAAGCUUUCAAGUGUUUUUGAACUAUGUCAUCAUUCACCGAGGGAUCUUGCUCAAGAAAGCAGAAGAAAUAGAGUAAUAGUUUAAAGGAAGAUAACAAAAGGUGAAGUCAAGCUGGAAGGCCAUCAGCCUACCUGAGAGAAAUGGGAAAAGACAGUGUCAGCUGAGAGGCAAGGGACAGACCUGUGGGGCUGAAUUACCCUUUCCUUCACCUGGUGCAGUUCAGAGCUUACUGCUUUUCUACCAGAUCCCUCACAAGAGACAUGUCUUUCCCUCAGUACGCAGCCAGGCUGCCCGAAGGCUGCUAAGCCAGAACCUCAAAGAUGAUAUAGCCAUUGGCCUUUUCUGGGUUUCUCCUAGAACUGGCUUGCAUUACAGAACAUUUUCCAACAUAAAACCAAAUGGAUCCCUGAGGGAUGUCACCUCCUGAGUCAUUUCUCAACAUCCUACAGAAGAAGGAGGGAGCCAGCAGCUCAUAUACAAUUUAUCAGGGGAAAAAAAAGAUUAGAGAUUAGAAAUCAGACCAAGCAAUUUAAAAGCUUUGAGACACCCUUCUUCCCUUCCUGAGGAAGCAGCAUGAAUAGUUAAGAACCAAAGCCAAUUUAGGGUUUUCUAUACGUGUAUAUAUCCUUUUAUCUGGUGUGCUUCAAACUUUACAGACAACUUCAGCCUUGGCUUGACAGUGCUCCUGUGAAACAUCAAAUGUAUUUGCUUAACUUGGAGGAAACUGGUAGCAUGGUAUUCAUCUGCUUUGUAUUUAAAGGCUAGUUUAAACCUUCUGGAGGUACUUUUCAUCUUAGCAUUUAUUCAUAUGUGAAUAGUGAAUUUAAAUAAUUCAUUUUGAGCUGCUUCUGCAAAGGUAUUACUUCAGUUCAAACUCUGUCCUGUUAAUUACCUUCUCAUUCUGCACAUCACGAAGCUCUGGGUUGAUGGUAAUUCUCUUGAUCCUCGUGAAAGUAAUAAGAGUGCUCUAACAGAAAAGUUUUCAAAUGUGGACACUGCUGGCCCAGGAGAGUCUGCAUUUUGCAGAUAAUAUUUUAACUUAUGAUAGUUCCUGAUUUGGAGCUAAAGUGCUGGGUGAAAAUGCACUUAUUAAAAUGCUGAGUGUCUCCUCUGAAGUAAUGAUAACAUCAUCAAAUUUCAGAACCAUUGGGGCAGCUAAAGCUAGAGGAUUGAUUGAUUCCUUUGCAAAGUGGCUCUAAUUCAACUAAUUAGAUGUUGAAUGGGUGUUAAAGUUCAGCUUGAGUGAUUCAUUGCUUUUUCAGCAACUGUACCUUUCUCAUGUAAAGUUUCUGAAAGUU